UACGGGGGGGGCAAGCGUUGUUCGGAAUUACUGGGCGUAAAGGGCUCGUAGGCGGCCAACUAAGUCAUACGUGAAAUCCCUCGGCUUAACCGGGGAACUGCGUCUGAUACUGGAUGGCUUGAGUUCGGGAGAGGGAUGCGGAAUUCCAGGUGUAGCGGUGAAAUGCGUAGAUAUCUGGAGGAACACCGGUGGCGAAGGCGGCAUCCUGGACCGAUACUAACGCUGAGGAACGAAAGCCAGGGGAGCAAACGGG
rnacentral:rRNA from 1 species